UACAGAGAGUGCAAGCGUUAAUCGGAAUUACUGGGCGUAAAGCGCGUGUAGGUGGAUGCUUAAGUCAAAUGUGAAAUCCCUAAGCUCAACUUAGGAACUGCAUUUGAUACUGGGCGUCUAGAGUAGAGUAGAGGGAGGCGGAAUUUCCGGUGUAGCGGUGAAAUGCGUAGAUAUCGGAAGGAACACCAGUGGCGAAGGCGGCCUCCUGGACUCAUACUGACACUAAGGCGCGAAAGCGUGGGGAGCAAACAGG
rnacentral:rRNA from 1 species